UACACCAGCCAUACAACCCCAAGCUAUGCUCUCAUCAAAAUUUGUAAGCUAAACAAGGUUGAACUGUGUCAGUACUUGGUUGGGAGACCUCCAAGGAAAAUCCAGUGUGCUGAAC
rnacentral:rRNA from 1 species